rnacentral:misc_RNA from 1 species
CACCCCUACCGAAAUUACAUAGACUUCAAAGCAUGUCACAACUUAUAUACCCUGAUUCAAGUAUCCAAGCUAUAAUAUAUCUAACUUUUUUUUUUUCAAAAAAGAAAAAGGAAAACUGGUGGCCUUGUGGCUGCUGUAUUAGACAUUUAUUAGUUACAAGUAACUGGACUUGCUCUAUCCGUAGAAACCAUCAUAACUGGGAAGUGGGAACUAAUGGACCUUUGCUGUGUCUUGGUACUACAUUAUCCCUAAAACGGACAUAGUUCUAUCCCCAUGGGCCAUCUUAAAUAAAAAUUGGUAGUUGCGAGGAGGUCAAGCAGACGCACGGAUCAUACCAUAAGAAGAAGAAGUGGACCAGGUAUCACAAAAUUGAAUGACUAAAUUCAGAACACGAAAUUUGACUGCAAUUCAAGGAAUUGUACUUUCUAUGGAAUCACCUACAUGGUUUUUCACCACACCACUAUUCUCCAAUCUCCACCCCGCCUUUUAAUAUCAGAAUGUAAAAAGUAUCG